GAUUUAUUUCCCGGGAGCCUCCGGGUCUGUCCGGUCUGUGGCAGGCUGUCAACUACCGACGGAUCCUCCGCUGGUGAGGUGUGAUGUCGUCACUGAGCGGAGAGGCUGAGAGGGACUCGUGGAGUCCGACCGGUUGAACCUGCUCCGGAUAAUUCCGGCGAAGGGAGCGCGCUUUUAUGUUUG
rnacentral:ncRNA from 1 species